GGAGGACCUCCAGGCACCAGCAGACUCCCAGCACCAGGACGGGACCACAGGACUCUGCAGGCCAGGAGCCCUUGACUCUCCAGCCAGAUGCCAUGCUGCUGUGGCUGACCCUAGCCCUCCUGUGGAGCCCCACCUGCUGGGCACAGCAGGUGUAUGGGCCUGGAGGAGGUACCUAUUUCAGUACCUCUAGAGAUUUCCAAAACAAUAUCACCGGAAUUCGAGUGUUUGUAGGUCCUCUGGGCCUAAUCAAGAGUAUCCAGGUGAGAUAUGGCUCUUCCUAGAGUGAGAAAUACGGAGCCCCAGGCGGGACACCUCAGGAAAUCAUUCUGCAGCCAGAAGAACACAUUACAGGAAUCUACGGCUCCUAUAGGAGUUUCCUCCGCUACUUGGUCAUAUACACAAACCAAGGGCACUGGUUCCCAUUUGGGAAGGAAGUUGGCAACACCUUUGCUGUCUUCCCUGAUGACAGUGACAAGGUGCUCACCAGAGUCUAUGGCCACUACAGGCUUCUGGGCAUUACCAGCAUUGGCUUUGGAUGGGGUUAUCCUUGAUUCUUAAACAAAUAGCACCUCAACCGAAGAGAAAUGACCAUUCCUGAGCUCCCAGGUCUGAUCUGUGGGUUACCCUGCCAAGGCCAUCUGGUUGAUGGUGGGUACAAGGCGGCAGGGACCUGACUGCAGCCCUGAAUCAGAAUCCACCAAUAAAUCCAGCUUCUGAAGC